rnacentral:rRNA from 1 species
CCGGCGAUUUCCGAAUGGGGAAACCCAGUGUGAUUCGUCACACUAUCAUUAACUGAAUCCAUAGGUUAAUGAGGCGAACCGGGGGAACUGAAACAUCUAAGUACCCCGAGGAAAAGAAAUCAACCGAGAUUCCCCCAGUAGCGGCGAGCGAACGGGGAGGAGCCCAGAGCCUGAAUCAGUGUGUGUGUUAGUGGAAGCGUCUGGAAAGGCGUGCGAUACAGGGUGACAGCCCCGUACACAAAAAUGCACAUACUGUGAGCUCGAUGAGUAGGGCGGGACACGUGGUAUCCUGUCUGAAUAUGGGGGGACCAUCCUCCAAGGCUAAAUACUCCUGACUGACCGAUAGUGAACCAGUACCGUGAGGGAAAGGCGAAAAGAACCCCGGCGAGGGGAGUGAAAAAGAACCUGAAACCGUGUACGUACAAGCAGUGGGAGCCUCUUAAUGGGGUGACUGCGUACCUUUUGUAUAAUGGGUCAGCGACUUAUAUUCUGUAGCAAGGUUAACCGAAUAGGGGAGCCGAAGGGAAACCGAGUCUUAACUGGGCGUUAAGUUGCAGGGUAUAGACCCGAAACCCGGUGAUCUAGCCAUGGGCAGGUUGAAGGUUGGGUAACACUAACUGGAGGACCGAACCGACUAAUGUUGAAAAAUUAGCGGAUGACUUGUGGCUGGGGGUGAAAGGCCAAUCAAACCGGGAGAUAGCUGGUUCUCCCCGAAAGCUAUUUAGGUAGCGCCUCGUGAAUUCAUCUCCGGGGGUAGAGCACUGUUUCGGCAAGGGGGUCAUCCCGACUUACCAACCCGAUGCAAACUGCGAAUACCGGAGAAUGUUAUCACGGGAGACACACGGCGGGUGCUAACGUCCGUCGUGAAGAGGGAAACAACCCAGACCGCCAGCUAAGGUCCCAAAGUCAUGGUUAAGUGGGAAACGAUGUGGGAAGGCCCAGACAGCCAGGAUGUUGGCUUAGAAGCAGCCAUCAUUUAAAGAAAGCGUAAUAGCUCACUGGUCGAGUCGGCCUGCGCGGAAGAUGUAACGGGGCUAAACCAUGCACCGAAGCUGCGGCAGCGACACUAUGUGUUGUUGGGUAGGGGAGCGUUCUGUAAGCCUGUGAAGGUGUACUGUGAGGUAUGCUGGAGGUAUCAGAAGUGCGAAUGCUGACAUAAGUAACGAUAAAGCGGGUGAAAAGCCCGCUCGCCGGAAGACCAAGGGUUCCUGUCCAACGUUAAUCGGGGCAGGGUGAGUCGACCCCUAAGGCGAGGCCGAAAGGCGUAGUCGAUGGGAAACAGGUUAAUAUUCCUGUACUUGGUGUUACUGCGAAGGGGGGACGGAGAAGGCUAUGUUGGCCGGGCGACGGUUGUCCCGGUUUAAGCGUGUAGGCUGGUUUUCCAGGCAAAUCCGGAAAAUCAAGGCUGAGGCGUGAUGACGAGGCACUACGGUGCUGAAGCAACAAAUGCCCUGCUUCCAGGAAAAGCCUCUAAGCAUCAGGUAACAUCAAAUCGUACCCCAAACCGACACAGGUGGUCAGGUAGAGAAUACCAAGGCGCUUGAGAGAACUCGGGUGAAGGAACUAGGCAAAAUGGUGCCGUAACUUCGGGAGAAGGCAC